rnacentral:rRNA from 1 species
ACCUACGGGAGGCAGCAGUGGGGGAUAUUGCACAAUGGGGGAAACCCUGAUGCAGCGACGCCGCGUGAGUGAAGAAGUAUUUCGGUACGUAAAGCUCUAUCAGCAGGGAAGAAUAAUGACGGUACCUGACUAAGAAGCCCCGGCUAACUACGUGCCAGCAGCCGCGGUAAUACGUAGGGGGCAAGCGUUAUCCGGAUUUACUGGGUGUAAAGGGAGCGUAGACGGCUGUGCAAGCCAGGAGUGAAAGCCCGGGGCCCAACCCCGGGACUGCUCUUGGAACUGAAUGGCUGGAGUACAGGAGGGGG